AGCGUUUCUGCAAAGGGGCGAUUGGUCGAUACGAUCGAACUUUGGACUCGUGAUAAAAUGAAUUUUCGCUCAAAAAAUGCGAGCGCGGCCUCACGAAUUUCUUGCGCAGUAUUCGAGGCCUGUGAAGAAACGGGGCGACGUGGCUGCUCGCGCUCGGUGCGAUCGAAUUUAUAAACAGAAACGAGCACACAUCGCCGCCAACAAUGGAGGGCCUCGAGUGGAGAAUUCUCAAGAUCGUUAUCAGUGAUUGUUUACCUGGAAUUUCAGGAAACUCUGGAGCCGGAAAGCAUUUAAUUCGCUGUUUUAAUCACUGAAAUUCCGAAAUAAUUUGAUCAUCGAGCAAAGCACAGAUUUAGACAGUUUUUAUCGCUGUCCGCGAAGCCGAGAUCACAAAAGUACAAACAGGAAAUGAAUUAUGAGUGCGGCAAAGACAAAGCAAUUCGCAUUGGGCGCUGAAUUCCGCUUUCAUGGAGGGACGCUCUUCCCCCUCACUUCGUUGGAAGCUAUCCUCGCCUCUGACAAUGAGUUUCACAGUUUGUUGGGAGCAAAAAACGUUUCGUGAGACAUGCCGAGCGAGGGAGAAGCGUCGAACAAAUUUGGAUUAUUUUCGGUGGCUCUUCGUCGGGCCUUGAAAAUUCAUCGUUGCUUCGUUCCGUCGUUUUAUUGCUCAACGAAAAAUCGUUUGUAAAUAGAGGAGAAUUUCGGGGCCGAGUUUUCUCAGCGAAUCGACUUGGCGUUUAAUAUUUUCCAUUUUUAUUCACUUUCAGUGGGUACUUGGCUCCUGGCAGCGCGGAUACAGAAAUCCUCCAUUGCGCUUCGAGUCGGAGGGCCUGAAAGCCGAUUGCAUCUGGAGCUGUUGACCCAAGUGGCUUAAAAAAUCCUUCAAAAUCUAAUUUAUUAACAAUUUCGAGCUUCGGAGCUCGACUCAUCGGUCCGCGGAUAUUUGUUGAUCGAUAAACGAGCGAGCGGUUUGAAGAUUUAUUCAAUUGCGAUCAUAAGAGACGCGAGAUUCCAACGAAUUUACAAAAAUUCGACGAUAACUCAACUCGAAAUUGUCGAGCAGAGGCAACUGUCAAUUUUAACACGAUUCAGCUCGAAUUAUCAUCGAUAAAUCACCGUGCGGUGACGCUUGUUUUUUUUCUUCCUUACUCUUGCGCGGCAACAUUUUCAUCUCUGAGAAAAAUCGCUUCGAUAUGUGCGUAACGCGCGCGCGCGCCAUGAAUAUUCCUGCUCAUUAAAUUACCACUGAACCGAGUCACAUCGCACUGAAGCGCGUUUUUCACAGAAAAUAUCUUAUUAAACGUCCAUAUUAUUUGUAUAUCCGUGUAUUCGCAGUGUGUACGCACAAUGCUAAAUCGUUCGCUAGGCUUUCAGAUAAAACAUCACGUUCGUCGUAGCGUCGCUCGACACCAUGAUUCUUCAACGUACUCGAGCGUUUCGCAGCGCCACACGAUAAUAUUCGCGCCGAGCAGCACAGCACUACACGUAUCGUGUGCGGUGUAAUAUUUCUUCGUCUGUUUGCGCAAUUGCCAUAUGGGACGACUGUUUUUUUGUCUCUCUCGAUUGUUUUAUUUUUGUAUAUAUUUUUUUUCAUUUCUGUAUGCUUUCCAUUUAUGCGUGUUUUUCGUACGCGCCAACGAGUCGUACGCACCCGGAAAUUUCGUUUGCUCACGUCAAAAUGAGGGACAAAGAUUGGGAAAUAGCCCGGCUUUGGCUGGGAAUAAUUUUACGAAUUUUUUUAGCUCUCGGACUUUUUUGUAUUGGAUAAUUACGAGUCGAUGAAAUAAUAAACGAAUUGUGACUGAAUGAUUUAAUAAACGAAUGUAUCAAUUUA